rnacentral:tRNA from 5 species
GCACCCGUAGUUCAACUGGAUAGAAUACUUGGCUUCGAACCAAGGGGUUGCAGGUUCGAGUCCUGCCGGGUGCGCCA